AGGUUUUUGUGACCCCUCUGGUCUCGUGUUCAUCUGGAAGAUUCGCAGCAAAUUCAUCGCCGAGGAAAUUACCACGACAACGGCUCCCAAGAAGUGCAGAGCUAAGGACCGCGCUCAGCUGAUGAAGGAUGCAUCUUUGGAGGACGAUGAUUGCCUAGAGGACGUGGAAAAGUGUAUCCUUUUGGCUCUCGAGUGUGUCGAAGUAGAUCCAGAAAAAAGGCCGCUGGCCAGAGAGAUAUUAUACAGACUCCCCGUUGCCAAUGCUUCUGCCAGCCACGUCGGGUGAUCGACCAGCAGGAGUGAAUCGCGCUUGGUUCGAUCGAUCUAUCGGGCUCUCUGUCGUCACUCGUCAGGGAAGCUAGCUAAGAAUAAAUUUAAUUAAGACUACGGAGAUCAGGAUUGCUAGCAUAUGUAUAUGUAUGUAUACACAUGCUGCGUUUAGUUUGCCAUGCAUAUCGAUCGGUCGUCUCCUCCGAAACAAUUGAGACUAUUUGGCUUAUAAUAUCUAAAUUAUAUUCAGCUUUCGAUUCCUGUUUGCUUGUAAUGAACUAGGAAGGCCACCCGCGCAUUUGCGCGGCUAGAUGUUACCAUCUCUAAUGUUAUAUUUUAAAUUAUUUAAUUAUUUAUAUUUA